AAAGUACUCCCUCCGUCCCAAAAUUCUUGUCUUCGAUUUGUCUAGAUACAGAUGUAUCAAGUCACAUUUUAGUGUUAGAUACAUCCAUAUCUAGACAAAUCUAAGACAAGAAUUUGGGAUAGAUGGAGUAGUUG
rfam:Triticum aestivum genome assembly, contig: Triticum_aestivum_CS42_TGACv1_scaffold_222747_3B